UUUCUAUUCAAAGACAUCAAUAAAAUUAAAAAGAUACACAGAUGAUUACUAUAGCCCUGCGCAAGGAUAACAUGCAUAAAUCAACAAAUUGACCAAAUUUUU